rnacentral:tRNA from 1 species
GGCUGGGUAGCUCAGUGGUAGAGCACGCGACUCAUAACCGCGUGGUCGUGGGUCCGAUCCCCACCCCAGCCACCA